rnacentral:sRNA from 1 species
AGUGAUGCUUAGGAAACUUUAACAAUGGACCUUGGACCUUGCUUGGGUUCUGCUUGGGGUUGGAGAAAGAGGAAAGGGCUAGCAACAAACGAAACCUAGCACUGCAGGUUUGAACAAGAAUGGAAGAGGGGCAGGGGCUCUGUGGGGCUCAGUCACUAACCAGGUUUCUCUUUGCUCUCAGCUGAGUUCAGCAUUUGGACCCGGGAAGCAGGCGCUGGAGGCCUCUCCAUCGCUGUUGAGGGCCCCAGUAAGGCCGAGAUUACGUUCGAUGACCAUAAAAAUGGGUCGUGCGGUGUAUCUUAUAUUGCCCAAGAGCCUGGUAACUACGAGGUGUCCAUCAAGUUCAAUGAUGAGCACAUCCCGGAAAGCCCCUACCUGGUGCCGGUCAUCGCACCCUCCGACGACGCCCGCCGCCUCACUGUUAUGAGCCUUCAGGAAUCGGGAUUAAAAGUUAACCAGCCAGCAUCCUUUGCUAUAAGGUUGAAUGGCGCAAAAGGCAAGAUUGAUGCAAAGGUGCACAGCCCCUCUGGAGCCGUGGAGGAGUGCCACGUGUCUGAGCUGGAGCCAGGUGAG